CUUGGGGAGGGAGGUGCUUUGUGUCCGGAGCCCUGGGGCUGCUCUGCCUGCCUGGGAGGUGGGAGGUCCUCAGCCUUAGGGUGAGGCGGUGGCUUGGGAGCUGACCCUGCUCUGCGCCAGACACUUGCAGACCCUCUCCAACUGCAGGGCUGCGGCCACCCCUAGUGGAUGCUGACUGACGGAGCUCGCCCGAACAAUUGAUGAGUCUGGCCUCGCCGCUCUCUGUUCUGGAGCCUGGGCCUUGCUCUUCUUUAUGGAUGGCAACUUAGCCCAGCGGACUGGGGAACAGAGCCACCCACCCAGAGCCAAUGCCUUCCUUCUCACCGGAGGCCUCCACACUUCCCUGACUGAUCCAGAGUGCCUGCCUCUUACAUCAGGAUCUGGAGCACAUGUGUGUGCAAAUGCACACACACAACACAUGCUAGGAGAGCAGGGCUUCCUCAUCUGGGAACCGACACAGAGAAACAUGGCGGUGACUGAAGCUCCCACCUGGUGAGGUGGAUGUUGGAGGUAACCUCCACCUUCUCUUCUCCUUUGAGGUCUUUGUAUCGAGAAACUGGAUAUUAUGCUGUGCUGGGACGUGACGCUCAGCCCCACACUUUCGUAGGGAUGACGUGGGACGUUCCCCACACUCGAUAGGUCCCUGGUGUCCCACUGAUACCCCCAUUCACUAUGGAUUAAAAUGAGACAGCAAGUCCCUUUAGCCCUGAUAGAAGCUCUGACUAGGUUUCUAUUUUUUGUGAUAAUAAACCUGUUUCCAAGGUUGUAGAAAUGUGUCAACAUUGUUAUCCAUUAUUCCACUUAAUUAUUUUCUGA